UGGGGAAUUUUGGACAAUGGGCGCAAGCCUGAUCCAGCCAUGCCGCGUGCGGGAAGAAGGCCUUCGGGUUGUAAACCGCUUUUGUCAGGGAAGAAAUCUUCUGGGUUAAUACCUCGGGAGGAUGACGGUACCUGAAGAAUAAGCACCGGCUAACUACGUGCCAGCAGCCGCGGUAAUACGUAGGGUGCAAGCGUUAAUCGGAAUUACUGGGCGUAAAGCGUGCGCAGGCGGUUAUGCAAGACAGAUGUGAAAUCCCCGGGCUCAACCUGGGAACUGCAUUUGUGACUGCAAGGCUAGAGUGCGGCAGAGGGGGAUGGAAUUCCGCGUGUAGCAGUGAAAUGCGUAGAUAUGCGGAGGAACACCGAUGGCGAAGGCAAUCCCCUGGGCCUGCACUGACGCUCGUGCACGAAAGCGUGGGGAGCAAACAGGAUUAGAUACCCUGGUAGUCCACGCCCUAAACGAUGUCAACUGGUUGUUGGGAAGGUUCCUUCUCAGUAACGUAGCUAACGCGUGAAGUUGACCGCCUGGGGAGUACGGCCGCAAGGUUG
rnacentral:rRNA from 1 species